rnacentral:sRNA from 1 species
UUCUAGUCCCGAUUGCAACGGCAUCCUUUUAUGAAGCGCAGCGGAAUAAAAGAUAUAGUGGAAAGGAGGUCAGUUA